rnacentral:rRNA from 1 species
UACGUAGGGGGCAAGCGUUGUCCGGAAUCAUUGGGCGUAAAGCGCGUGUAGGCGGCCCGAUAAGUCCGCUGUGAAAGUCCAGGGCUCAACCCUGGAAUGCCGGUGGAUACUGUCGGGCUCGAGUCCGGAAGAGGCGAGUGGAAUUCCUGGUGUAGCGGUGAAAUGCGUAGAUAUCAAGAGGAACACCUGAGGUGAAGACGGGUUGCUGGGCUGACACUGACGCUGAGGCGCGAAAGCCAGGGGAGCAAACGGG